UCUGAUUUUCCCUCAACUUCUUCUCCUUCUUUAAUCACUGGAACUCAGCUUCGGCCAUAAAGAAAAAAUGGCUUCCUCUUUAUCUACUAUUUCUUCUCCAUCUUUAAUCUACUGCUGAUUCUGCUUCAAAAGAAGAAGAGAUCCCAAAACCAAAAAACCCAGUUGAAGAAAUCCCAAAACAAGAAAACCCAGAUGAAAAAAUCCCAAAACAAGAAAACCCAGAGGAAAACAUCCCAAAACCAGAAAAUUUUCACCAUCAGACUCUGAGCCGGAGAAAUCUUCAGAAUUGUGACUUGCUCUCCUCCCAAAAUCCCUUCUAGAACCCCCUUUAUUCCCUUUAAUUCUGCCUGGAUCGAAAAUUUUCAUCGUCUUCAGAGCCCGAACUGGGCCCAAUGUCUUCAUCUGAGCCAUAAGUAAUCGAAUGCUCAUAAAUCAAGAUCGAUUGCUCGUUUUUGCUGCCUUUGCUGUCCUAAUUGUUACUGCUGUAUGUUCUUAACUUCCUUCUGUACUCGCUCUCGACGCUGUCAAGUUUAUUGAUUGAUCUCUUAAUACAACUAAUUUGGUAGGAGCAAUUUCGAAUUAAGCUCAAAAUAAAUUUAAAUAAAACUUUCUAAUUGCUAUUUAAUCAAGAAAAUGUUACUGCUUUUUUAGAACCUAGGGAGUAUAACGUGACUUGGUAUCCUGAUUUUUGUAUUGGGUCUUUUUGAGGAUAUUCGAAAGAUUUUUGUACUGGGUCUUUUUGUAUUGGAUCUCCAUUCCACAUGUAUCACUUCAGGAAUAUGCAGGUUAAAAUCUUGUAUGGCCGAACUUUCCUUUCGUCUCUCUAGUGAUCUAGCUAGUGCAUCCCAGAUCAACAGAUCAAUUUGGGAAUAAACCAUAAACCAGAAAAUCCUCUCUGUUUUGGAUGAAACAGAAUCAGGAAGGGUGGAUUUGGGCCUAAUUUCUUUAUUGUUUAUGUAAUUUGAGUGUUAUACGUGGAUGGAUGUGGGAAUUCUAUGCUUGAUUCAAAUUCAUAUGCUUGAUUAUUUUGUGUACUUUAAAAGACGAAAUUGAAUUUAAAAGGCAUGUGCAAUGUUCUUAUCCUACUUCUGAAUGUUCUUCUCUAUAUUCUUCCAUCAUUUCUUUUAGCUCGAAUUGGAUCAAGCGUAGAGAGAGGAUGUAGGUGGAGAGAGAAAAUGUGCUUAUAGAUUUCUAUAAGUGCAGUAAAAUUGCUCAAUUGCUCGUAGAGUAGAUUCUGUAUUGGAUUAUUUUUUUUGGUUGAGAUUAAAGCAGAGCAGAGCUUUGUAUUCUCUGCUCUUGCCUGUAAACAUGGAGGAUAAUUAAGUCUUUAACCAAAUUAAGUAACGGAGUUAAGACAGAAAUCAUUUUUUCACUUCAACUCAAAAGGUCGGGUGUUUAAAUGUAGCUUUACUGACCACAGGUGGUUAAAUGGAAAACCGUCCAAACCCCAAGUGAUCAUCUUCGAUUCUUGUGAGUAGAUACUUAUAUAUGAUGUCUAUAAUUUUCGUUUAUAUUUUUGAUGCAUAUAAUUUUCAUACGUAGAUGAUCAACAUUUCGUUCUUGCUAACAAUAUGCAUGAAUUAAAUUACGUAUAUAGUCCCACUUAUAUAACAGAUUUAAUUCAUCCCUUUUGUAUAUAUAG
rnacentral:lncRNA from 1 species